rnacentral:rRNA from 1 species
GACGAACGCUGGCGGCGUGCUUAACACGUGCAAGUCGAACGGAAAGGCCCUGCUUUUGUGGGGUGCUCGAGUGGCGAACGGGUGAGUAACACGUGAGUAACCUGCCCUUGACUUUGGGAUAACUUCAGGAAACUGGGGCUAAUACCGGAUAGGAGCUCCUGCUGCAUGGUGGGGGUUGGAAAGUUUCGGCGGUUGGGGUUGGACUCGCGGCUUAUCAGCUUGUUGGUGGGGUAGUGGCUUACCAAGGCUUUGACGGGUAGCCGGCCUGAGAGGGUGACCGGCCACAUUGGGACUGAGAUACGGCCCAGACUCCUACGGGAGGCAGCAGUGGGGAAUAUUGCACAAUGGGCGGAAGCCUGAUGCAGCAACGCCGCGUGCGGGAUGACGGCCUUCGGGUUGUAAACCGCUUUCGCCUGUGACGAAGCGUGAGUGACGGUAAUGGGUAAAGAAGCACCGGCUAACUACGU